rnacentral:rRNA from 1 species
UACGUAGGGUGCAAGCGUUAUCCGGAAUUAUUGGGCGUAAAGAGCUCGUAGGCGGUUUUUCGCGUCUGCUGUGAAAACUGGAGGCUCAACCUCCAGCCUGCAGUGGGUACGGGCAAACUAGAGUGCGGUAGGGGAGAUUGGAAUUCCUGGUGUAGCGGUGGAAUGCGCAGAUAUCAGGAGGAACACCGAUGGCGAAGGCAGAUCUCUGGGCCGUAACUGACGCUGAGGAGCGAAAGCAUGGGGAGCGAACAGG